UACGUAGGGGGCAAGCGUUGUCCGGAUUUAUUGGGCGUAAAGAGCGUGUAGGCGGCCAGGUAGGUCAGCUGUGAAAACUCGAGGCUCAACCUCGAGACGUCGGUUGAAACCACCUGGCUAGAGUCCGGAAGAGGAGAGUGGAAUUCCACGUGUAGCAGUGAAAUGCGUAGAGAUGUGGAGGAACACCGAUGGCGAAGGCAGCCCCCUGGGGUAACACUGACGCUCAUGCACGAAAGCGUGGGGAGCAAACAGG
rnacentral:rRNA from 1 species